CCCUAGGGAAGAAGCGCAAGUGACGGUACCUGCAGAAGAAGCGCCGGCUAACUACGUGCCAGCAGCCGCGGUAAUACGUAGGGCGCAAGCGUUGUCCGGAAUUAUUGGGCGUAAAGAGCUCGUAGGCGGUUUGUCGCGUCUGCUGUGAAAACCCGAGGCUCAACCUCGGGCCUGCAGUGGGUACGGGCAGACUAGAGUGCGGUAGGGGAGACUGGAAUUCCUGGUGUAGCGGUGGAAUGCGCAGAUAUCAGGAGGAACACCGAUGGCGAAGGCAGGUCUCUGGGCCGCAACUGACGCUGAGGAGCGAAAGCAUGGGGAGCGAACAGGAUUAGAUACCCUGGUAGUCCAUGCCGUAAACGUUGGGCACUAGGUGUGGGGCUCAUUCCACGAGUUCCGUGCCGCAGCAAACGCAUUAAGUGCCCCGCCUGGGGAGUACGGCCGCAAGGCUAAAACUCAAAGGAAUUGACGGGGGCCCGCACAAGCGGCGGAGCAUGCGGAUUAAUUCGAUGCAACGCGAAGAACCUUACCAAGGCUUGACAUAUACCGAAAACUCCUGGAGACAGGGGGUCCGCAAGGGCGGUAUACAGGUGGUGCAUGGUUGUCGUCAGCUCGUGUCGUGA
rnacentral:rRNA from 1 species